GAUGAAGAACGUAGCGAAAUGCGAUAAGUAGUGUGAAUUGCAGAAUUCAGUGAAUCAUCGAAUCUUUGAACGCACAUUGCGCCCUUUGGUAUUCCUUAGGGCAUGCCUGUUCGAGCGUCAUUUAAACCUUCAAGCUAAGCUUGGUGUUGGGUGACUGUCCGCUUCACUGCGGACUCGCCUCAAAAUUAUUGUCGGCCGGUACAUUGGCUUCGAGCGCAGCAGAAACGCGAACUCGGGCCCGUCGUAUUGGCUCCCAGAAGCUAUCUUCACAAUUUUGACCUCGGAUCAGGUAGGGAUACCCGCUGAACUUAAGCAUAUCAAUAAGCGGAGGA
rnacentral:misc_RNA from 1 species